GUGAACCAAGACGUCUCUCGGGAUCUCCAGAAACUCGUCCUCCAUCACCACCUCCGAGAAGUUUGCAAAGAUGUAGUCCCUCGCCGCCUCCAGGAGCUCCACCAGGUGAUGCGCAUCAGCAAACCUGAAACAGUGGCAGAUAUCUCGACAUCACAGAAGUGCUGGGAAUGCCAUAGCGCACACAGGUUCUGCAGGAGCUUGUUGGCGUAGGACUUGCAGGCAUAGCGGUGUGUGUCGCUCACCAGGGAGGACGUAGGCGGCGGCGCUCCCUGGGCAGGUGGCGGAAGGACCCCCACGCAGGCCGCCAUCCUCACACAGCCUUUCAAUCCUGUAGGAGGGGUGAAGGAGGUGUGCUGGUGAAGUGAAGUCCUGCAGGAGACAGUGAAGGAAGAGGUGGUGGUGGUGAGAUGAAGGCAUACAGUAAUU